rnacentral:RNase_P_RNA from 2 species
UGAGUAAGUCAGAUGAUCGCAUGCUUAGGCAUGAGGAAAGUCCGGGCUCCAUAGGGUAGGAUGCUGGAUAACGUCCAGUGAGGGUGACCUCAAGGCUAGUGCAACAGAGAUAUACCGCCUAAACUUUUAAGUUUAGGUAAGGGUGGAAAGGUGGGGUAAGAGCCCACCAGCAACUAGGUGACUAGUUGGCUAUGUAAACCCCAUCCGGAGCAAGACCAAGCUAGGGAGUUUGGAGGUGGUUACCCGUCACCUUCCCGAUUGGUAGGUUGCUUGAACCCAUUGGCAACAAUGGGUCUAGAUAGAUGAUCGUCAGAUACAAAACCCGGCUUAUAGAUUUACUCACUUA